GACGAACGCUGGCGGCGUGCUUAACACAUGCAAGUCGAGCGGAAAGGCCCUUCGGGGUACUCGAGCGGCGAACGGGUGAGUAACACGUGAGUAAUCUGCCCUUGGCUUUGGGAUAACUACCGGAAACGGUGGCUAAUACCGGAUACGACAACCGUCUGCAUGGGCUGGUUGUGGAAAGUUUUUUCGGCCAGGGAUGUGCUCGCGGCCUAUCAGCUUGUUGGUGGGGUAAUGGCCUACCAAGGCUUCGACGGGUAGCCGGCCUGAGAGGGUGACCGGCCACACUGGGACUGAGACACGGCCCAGACUCCUACGGGAGGCAGCAGUGGGGAAUAUUGGACAAUGGGCGGAAGCCUGAUCCAGCAACGCCACGUGAGGGAUGACGGCCUUCGGGUUGUAAACCUCUUUCAGUACCGACGAAGCGCCGAUGAUGGUGGUGACGGUAGGUACAGAAGAAGCACCGGCCAACUACGUG
rnacentral:rRNA from 1 species